rnacentral:rRNA from 1 species
CUACGGGCGGCACCAGUGGGGAAUAUUGCACAAUGGGGGAAACCCUGAUGCAGCAACGCCGCGUGGAGGAUGACGCAUUUCGGUGUGUAAACUCCUUUUAUAUAGGAAGAUAAUGACGGUACUAUAUGAAUAAGCACCGGUUAACUCCGUGCCAGCAGCCGCGGUAAUACGGAGGGUGCAAGCGUUACUCGGAAUCACUGGGCGUAAAGCGCGCGCAGGCGGCCCCUUAAGUUGGAUGUGAAAGCCUACGGCUUAACCGUAGAACUGCAUCCAAAACUGAGGGGCUAGAGUCUGGGAGGGGAAGAUGGAAUUAGUUGUGUAGGGGUAAAAUCCGUAGAGAUAACUAGGAAUACCAAAAGCGAAGGCGAUCUUCUGGAACAGUACUGACGCUGAGGCGCGAAAGCGUGGGGAGCAAACAGGAUUAGAUACCCCCGUAGUC